CACCGUUUCAGUGGCAUUUAAAUCCCCGGCGCUCCUCAGUGUAGGUGACGCGCGCUUGCCCCCCCAGGCAGCCCGGGCCGCGGCGGUAGCUGCGGCCGCUCCCAGAGCUGACUUGGAGCCCUGGGACCAAAGGGAGUCGAGACUGCCUUCUGCGCGCGCCCGGCUCUGCGCGCCUCCACCGCCAGAUGUGGGGGGAUGGGAGGCCCCCUCCGCGGCCCCUUCCCCCACCCAGCCCAGAAAGCUGAACUGGCAAGAGGACGAAUGCAUCCAGGAGCUGCGCAGUCCUGGCCACAGCCAGGACGCCCUGCUCAGAUCUCAGAGCCUGGGGCCUGAAAACCACCACAGUCCCCACGUACCGAGGCUGCUGAGGGACUGGGGGAGUAGAGGGUGAAGGGAAGGUAGGGAGCAAACCCCUGAAUAAAGUCUGAGGUUUCAUUGUAAUUCCCAAGCUUUUGCUAUUAAGAACUGGGUUCUUCCAUCAAUCACCGCCCCCCCCCACGCACAUGUUGCUGCAGUUUCUCACGGUCUGUUUUUCCUGAACCCAUCCACAGCUGGGAGAUUAAUCAACCACACUGAAAAUGGGGUGGGGGGAGGGAAAGGAAGAGUUGGAAUGUAGAUGUUUGAAACAAAUGUGUAUAAAUAAAUGAAUUUUUGAUAACUCCGUUAUUGACCUAGAGACUAGCAGCUUGGUGAGGGAACUCCACUC
rnacentral:lncRNA from 1 species